GACUUACUCAGUACUCUAUCAGGGACGUGGAACGUAACAAUAUGUAUAAAAGAUAAUUAUGUUUUAUCAGUACUUAUUGUUCACAAGUAGCGGUAGUGGCAGUAGUAGCAUUUAGAAAUGAGUAGCUGUAGCGGUAGUGCCACGUACUACAAUUUGACUGAAGUAGUGGUAGCGGUAGUCCCACUACUUUUAGCAGGUAGUGCGCACAACACUGGCUAUAUGUCAUACGGGGAUAUGGUGGUUCCCUAAAAAUUCAUAGAUUAAGCAUGUUAUGAAAGUAUUUGCUCGAGUGAGGAUGCCGUGGUCACCAAAAGUUUCACAUGCCUUGGUAGUGUAGUGUACAACAAUAAUGGGUCUUACCAGGAUGUCACUCGAUGGAUUGGCCUGGCCCACGGUGUUAUGGACUCACUCAGCACGAAUAUAUAUGGAGUUGUCGAUAUCUAUGAAGGCGGACAAAGAUUUAAAUCUUUAAGUCACUUGUGAUCCCUGUCUUACUUGAUGGCUGUGAUACAUGCAUGGACACUGAAUAGUGACUUGAAGAGACAUGUCGAUGCCUUUGGAACCAAGUGCCUUCUUAGUAUCAUUGGGCAUCGUUGAAAUGACCUCGUGUCGAACCAGCGACUGCUUCAUGAAACUGAAUCGAAACCUGUAGCCGUAAUUCGUUAACGCCAACUCCAUCUAUAUGGGCACGUGGCACGCCUCCAGAACGUCGAUCCCGCUCAUAGGACCGCCUGUAUGCGAGACAACCCUGAGAGGAGGAAACAAAGGGAACGCCCACCUCAUGGCUGGGGCAAGUCGCUCGAUCCUUACGGGAAGGGCCUAAGAUGGAUAGGGCAGCUGCGUCGGAGCUUGCUCGUCCAGCCAUGUGUCUCGAGAUCAGCUGGGGAGUCUGGAUGAUCUACUGGAAGAAAAUCUCUUCACUGCACACGCGCUAGAACCCAGGGUGCCUCCUGUUCUUCUCCUCAGAGUCGGAAGUCCACAGAUGGCCACCGAGUACAGAUCAAUUUUAAGAGUGACUCCAAAGGAAUAUGUUACCAGUGCCGUGACUAACGCUGCCUCAACACUACAGUCAGCAGGAGGUGUUUAUUGUUAUUCUUUGUCACCAAGCAAAUUACUACUGGCUAUGCCACUAAUUACGAUUGCUGUCCUAGGUCUGUGAGAUGCUGAAAAAUAUGGAACUGGCAUUAUUCUAACAUAACGACACAGUGAUGUGAAAUUAUUAAACGCAAAGCAACAACGCGAAGAGCUUCAGCUUGUAUAUACCAUGUAAAUUAAAUUGGUAAUAGAUUAUAGAUAAAG